rnacentral:misc_RNA from 1 species
CAACCAGGUAGCAUUCCUACACGACGUCGCAGCCCGCAUGACAGCACCUGCCGCCGUCCGUUAGGACGACAGCGGGUGCCAGAUCAACGCGGGGAGCGAGCGUCAUUCGUUGAAGCAAUUUAUAAGAGGCAACACGUUCGAGAGAAUUCUCGAGCAUAUCAUGCCGCCGAAUGCACUGCAUCCAAGAGAGCGAGCACCGACGACGCGGCCCGCGACGAGCCUUGAAAGGGCUGAAGCGGAACACGAUGCGGGCUUCGGUGUUCGUCAUGCACCCGACAAGGGGUGCCGACAGAAAGGGAUUAACGAGACGCGACGCUUCCAUCACGUGAGGUACUGAUGCAAGAACCGAUAAAUCGCGGCCGCUCGAAAUACUUCGGGGCACAUCAAUGAGGAGGGAGCUGGCGCUGACAGUUCGAUGCCCGAGCACCGAGCCUGCCAACCCAAACUACCGAAUCACCACUCACGCGCCGUAUGCAUGUGAGCCCGGGCAACGCUCGACUGCCCCGCGCCCUUGCUUGCAGUGAAGCAGGGGUGCAGAGUCGUCGUCUAGCGAGGCCGAG